GCGAGAAAUAAAUAACGGGAAUUACUCUUCAAGUAUCGUUGCACUUAAUUGGAGAUCCGAAUCAUCCGACACGGGAAUACAACAUUUGGCGACGAGGAUGAUCUCAUCUUUAGUACGGAAAAAAGAGAAACUAAGUGCUAACUAGCGUGAUACAAGCGAUACUAUCAAAGGGUAGUAGCUAUCGAAAGGAUAGCGAUCAGACUAAGUCACCUGCGAGUGGCAGCUGAUAGCCAGCGAGAUCAAAGCCAUUUGAAAAGAGCAGCUAGAGCGAAAGCGAAACUAUCUACCAGAAGGUAGAGGCUCCGAAGGGCCGGGAAGCUUAAACAUUGAAAGUUGAUCGAUUGUAACGUGUGGUACGAUGGAGAAAUGGGCCAUCCCCCAGUUCAAGUAUAAGUCAUUGCCGAGAAACGCCAUUCGUGAUGAAUGGGUGAAAUAUAAGCGAAAUUUUGGUUAUAUUAUAUCGGCUACGAAUGAAAAAGACAAAACGAGCAUACGGAAUAUUUUGCUGGCAAAGGGUGGCCCAGAAUCCAGAGGAAUCGCUGGGGAAAUUCAUGCCCUGCUGUUAGGACCAAGCAAAUUAAUGCAAUUUCGGGAAAUCAGCCGAAGAAAGCAGAUCAAUCAGCGUGAUCGACAAAGUGAUUCUUUUCGCACCAAGUGAGCUUAAGGAACAAUUACUCCAACGUGAUUCAUUGUGUCUUGAUGAAGUUACCAAAAUUGUAACCACGUAUGAAUCCGUAAAACAGCAGGUCCGAUCAGUCAGCAUUCCUACAACAAGCUCUGAAAACUUCUCGACAGCAUACGGAAAUAUCAACAGGAUUCAGCAAUCACAUGCAAAAGAAUGCACGCGAUGUGGUCGUAAAGGACAUUUUGGAACGUUUUAUGUCCUGCUAAAGAAAAGGAGUGUAACAAAUGUAAACGGAUUGGGCAUUUUGCUACCCAAUGUCGCACCAAUUUUGCAUCCAAGCGGAAAUAUGAUGGACCGUUUCGUAGUGGCAAACGCUUCCAAACUGAUCGUAUCAACAAGGUCGAGAUUCACAGAGGUGAUGACCACAAAGAAGGCGUAUGUUCGGACAAUAAUUUCAUUUUCCGUAUCAGUGAAGGUGACGAACGUUUGGAAUCAACAAAAGAAGUGUGACGAGGUUUUCUAACCAUACGGCGAUCAAGCGAACCCGUUAACGCUACUAGGCAAGUUUGAAACACUAGUACACAUUGAAUACGCGGGUCGUACUUACGAGAAGGACACCACAUUCUACGUAGUAAAAGGUGGACAGCAAUGUUUACUAGGUCGGACCAGAGUUUUUAAUAGUAGAGUUGCGUAGAGAGGAUUGGUAACAUUGGACCAAUCAUUGGUCUUUUUUAAAUUUUGGCAACCUUUUAUUUUUAGUUAAAUUUCAAAUGACUUAACCCGAACGCUUCAGUUAGAAGUUAACUUUGUGCAUUUAAAAAUUUAAAAUUAAGUGUUCAGUUUUAUUUUGUAAAAAUCAGUACGAUAAAUAACAUCGUAUAAAGAAUUUAAGCUUUUUCCGGUUCUCUCCUGAACCGCAACUAAGAACGAAAUGCAUUGAUUUUUGCCGCUGAUUGGGGUGUGACAAAAAAACAGUCGAAUUUGCAGCGUAAGAUAAAUAAGUGUAUAAGUAUAGUAUAAGUGGAAUGCAUACACAAAUUUGUCAAAAUUUUAGCUGCACUUUAACUAUGAGAAAUACCUUCAUAUUUCCACUGUCGGUGGAAGAGCUGUUCCGGUGUUUAAAAUAGUGCCAAAUUUGAAUAUCAGUGAACAUAUAUUUUUUAAUAAUUGUCAUUAAGCAAAAUAUUAACAUUAUUAAAAUGUUAAUAUUACAUCAUUGAAUUUUUUCUCAUAAUUAUAAUCACAUAAUAACGAUACUCCCCACGCAUUCGAGCAUUGUUAUUCUUCGUGUCCAAUAGGUAGACGUUUUGAGUGUUCAAUAGGUAGAUUUGCUUCAGUCUUUGCGCAACUGUUCUUUAUAAACUUUGUGUCGGACAACUGCCACAGAUCUAGGGGUGUUGUUUGUCGGGUUACCAAGUACUUAUGGAGUAGCAAUGCCAGAAACCAGCACGAAACACCCGUUUCCCAAGAUCAAAGGAGUGAAGGUUUGUAUUCCCAUCGAUCUCUCGAUCACGCAGGUCUGCCAACAUCCCUGAAAACCACCAAUUGCGCUUACGUCCAGAAUAGAGGAGAAGUUUAAUGCAUUACUAGCGAACGACAUCAUUGAGCCUGUUGAAGGAGGAUGCCAAUGUUACUGUAGUGAAAGAUAAUAGGGAUUUACGUUUGUGCGUGGAUAUGCGUAGGGCGAAAGCUGUCAUUCUAAGAGAGAGACAUUUGAUGCCUACGAUCGAGGAUUUCCUUCCUAGAUUUACCGGUGCAAAGUUUUUUAGCAGGCUAGACAUAACAGAGGCUUUUCAUCAAGUUGAAUAGGAAGAAGCCAGUCGAUAUAUAACUACGUUUAUCACGCUCAUGGGUUUAUUUCGAAACAAGCGCCUCAUGUACGGAAUCGUCAUAGCACCGGAAAUUUUCCAGCGCAUUCUUGAACAGAUACUCAGUCGCUGCGGUAAAUUUGCUGUCUAUUUCAUCGACGAUAUUUUAAUCUUUACUGAAACAAUGGAAGAACACGAAGCGCUGAAAGUUGUCCUUUCUACGCUCCGUGGAUACAGAAUGCUGCUGAACAAGGACAAAUGUGUGUUCAAGGUUACGAUGUUGGAUUUUCUGGGUCACACAAUCUCGUCAGAACGCAUUCAGCCUUCGGAUAACAAAAUCGAAGCUCUGAAAAGCCAGGAAGAACUACGAAGCUUUCUUGGUCUUGUGACCUACGUAGGACGAUUUCUACCUGAUCUUGCGACCACUACUGCACCUUUGCGGCACUAACGCACACUGGGGUCAAAUUUCUGUGAGGAAAAGAUCAGCACCAAUCGUUUACAAAACUAAAGGAAAUGAUUGCUAAUGUUAAGUUAUUGUGAUUCUUCGAUAACUCUACGAACACGUGUCAUUGCUAAUGCUUCACCCAUGGCUCUCGGUGCCGUUCUGAUACAAUUUGAAGGUUCAACUGAUGAUGCCCCUCGCCCGAUUGCAUACUCGAGUAAAAGCCUUACACAAACUGAGCGCAGAUACUGUCAAACCGAGAAGGAAGCCCUCGCGUUGGUUUGGACAGUCAAGCGUUUUUCUUGUUACCUGCUGGGUCGUACCUUCGAACUGGAAACGGAUCACAAGCCGCUAGAAGCGAUAUUCAAACCAACGUCCAGACCCUGUUCUAGAAUCGAUGGGUGCUUCGUUUGCAAUCCUCAAUCUUUUUCAUUCACCGUAAAAUAUCGUAAAGGUUCCAGAAACAUUGCUGAUCCGUUGUCUCGACUAGUUGUUGACGAUACCCCCGAAGAAUUUGAUGUCGAAAAUAAGUUUAUGGUGCUGGCGGUCAUGGAAUCAGCAGCAAUCGAUAUUCAAGAGCUACAGGAAUCAAUGGAAGCAGAUUCAACACUAGCAGCAGUGAAGAAGUGUCUGCACACAGGAUCCUGGAAUGAAUCGGAAGUUAAACCGUACGUACCAUUUAGAGGCGAGCUAGGAAUGGUAGGUGACCUACUUGUCCGUGGCGAUAAACUUGUCGUCCCGUUCAGACUGCACUCCAGGAUGAUGGAUUUGGCUCACCAGAGGGCACCCCGGCGAAUCUGUCAUGAAGCGGCGUCUUAGGAAUCGAGUUUGGUGGCCUGGUAUGGAUUGCGAGGUCACUAAUCGAGUUGCGAGUUGCGGAGGCUGCCGUCUAGUUUCUGUACCAAAUAAGCCCGAACCGAUGUCACGACGACCACUGCCAUUGACUUCCUUGGACCGAUGCCGAGCGGUGUGUACUUACUGGUUGUCAUCGACUACUAUAGUCGCUACAAAGAAGUAGUGGUUGCGCACAAAAUUACGGCCAAGGAAACUGUUACCAAACUACACACCAUUUUCACUCGUCUGGGUAACCCAGAACAAUAACGCGAAACAGUUUGUGGGUACUGAGAUAGAAGAAUACAGUCAAAGUCGCGGUAUCCACUUAAACCACUCGACACCAUACUGGCCCUAAGAGAACGGGUUGGUGGAAAGGCAAAGCCGGUCACUGCUCAAGCGACUUCAAAUUAGCAAUGCUCUUGGUAGAGAUUGGCGUAAAGAUUUACAAGAGUACUUGAUGAUGUACUACACCACACCGCAUUCUACAACUGGACGCACACCCACGGAACUCCUGUACGGUAAAACCAUCAGAUCCAAAAUUCCAGAUCUGCAGGAUAUUGAAACAACGCCAACCACCUCUGAUGUUGCAGACAGAGAUCAAAUGUUGAAAGAAAAGGGGAAAGAAAAUGAGGACUCUCGUGGAAGAGCAAGGAAACCGUCAGUUGAUCUUGGAGACACUGUGUUAAUGAAAAAUCUGUUACCAGGCAAUUAGCUCCAAACAACAUUCGACCCCAAAGAAUACAAGGUCGUUGAUCGUUCGGGACCACGAGUAACAAUUGAAGACCCCUUAAAUGGAAGAUCGUAUGACCGAAACGUGGCACAUUUGAAAAAAGUUAUUGAUAUAACACAGGCACACAUUGAAGCUCCAGUCCACAAUGAGGACUCUCAGCGAGCAGAGUUACAAGAAGCAGGAGACGACAAUUCAGAGGAGGGUUUCGAAGGUUUCGAUGAAGAUGCAUCAUCAGUUACAGUAUCAUCACAUCGGUCACCAACUAGAGAGCAACGAUCCAGGAAACUGCCUUUGAAAUUCCAUGAUUAUCAGUUAUGAAUUCUUAAUUUGUUAAAAGGGGAGAUGUGGUGCCCAAGUCCGGCACUGGGAAAAUACCUUGUAGAGUAUGCAGAGUACGGGCCUGGUGGGAUGAACUGUCAGUGUGGUUUAGAUAUGCGAGAAAUAAAUAACGGGAAUUACUUUUCAA